GCGACUGUAACUUAAUGGCAAAGUGCAAGACUGUGGAUCUUGAAAAGGCGAUUCGAAUCCGCCCGGUCGUA
rnacentral:tRNA from 1 species